GCAGGUAAGCACGCGCUUUUUUUUAACAGGUAGAUACCUUAAGACCCGUUGAGUUUUUAAAGCGUUUCUCUCGAUUGUAGUGCAUCAUUUACAUCGUUGUGCCGGUGCGUCGUUAGUGGGAUGUACCUGAAGGUAAUUCUUCCGAGCCGUUGUGUUCAAUCCGUUAAUAAACGUGUGGAGUUAAUGUUGUUACGCGCCGAACAGGCCUGGUUUCCUGUGCCCCACUGCGUGGUCGGAGGGCGCGGUUGACCAACCUGUGCCCAUAGGCAUUUAUUUUUUGCCGUGAUAUUCUCACGGAUCCUCCCUUUUGUCUCGUCCAUAUAGGAACCGCGUGCUUCGGCCAUUCUCUUUAUCCUGGUUACAAGGCUGGGCGGAUGCUGCAGAGCUGGGGUCCCACGGGUGGCUGGAUUUCUCUCCUGGUGGUGGUUCUUCUUGGUGUGCUGUGUAACACUGAGUGUUUAGUUGUGUGAUCUGUGUGCGUGGAAGUGUGCCAUCGUAAAACUGAACUCCUCAGCCCUGCUGGAUGCAUGUGAUUAUUGUAGGGAC